GAAAACAAAUUCUACAAAGAACUUGAAAGACGUUCUUUCAGGCAGGCUGUGGUGGCUUUUUUAGAUGCCCCUUCUGCAGGAAAGGCUCUUGACAAUUGGCGGAUUCAGGACCUCAUCCAGUUCCCGUGAGAAACAGCAGCUGCGUCCCAGCUGAAAACACAGAGAAGACAAAGUUCUAUAUGGCUGCAGCACAGCAUCAUCAUUGCUCAGGAUGCCCUACUUGCCCUAUCUCAUGGCUGACCCUUCAAGACCACUGAUGGGUCGCCAACCAUCUCCUCCAUCUGGGUGUCACCUGGGAACUCAACCAUUCCCAUCAGCUAAUGUUGAUCUGGGACCUCUGACAACUCCUCAACUCCAGUGCCCACUAGGACCUCAAACACUUUCUGCAGCUGAUGAUUGUCUAAAACUCCAGGCAGCUCCACUACUCAGGUGUCCUCUUGGACCUCAACUACUUAUUUUACUGGAAUAUACUCAGGGACAUGGAUGA
rnacentral:lncRNA from 1 species